GCUGGGACAGUCGAGCUGCUGCGGGAUGGCUUUGGUGUUGCUACGUUUGGGGCCGUUGGAGUUGAAAAGGGGUGGUCCUCCCACAAUGUCGUGAAUGAUACCCAACCAGCAGCUUUGCCGGAGGCAUGGAGGUGGUGCGCUGGACAUGGAACGUAGAUUGCCCUCCCUUACCACUUGCAUUGUUCCUUUCAUUUUGCUUAUGUAUAGUGUGCCCUUCAGUUCCCCGAGGCUGAUGGGCUUGUUGUGCUCAGCAGGUGUGCUUCGCUCUGUAUACGGUGUGUGGGCCUUGGAUGUUUGUCAUUGUAGUGGUCCUGUUUCUAUUUUGUGUGGGUGAUUUUAUUUAUAAGUACCUUUAAUGUUUGAUCCCAUUGAUUGUAAGUAUAUUACAUGUUUUAUUUUUGUAUGGUUGUUGCUGAUGUACAC
rnacentral:lncRNA from 1 species